rnacentral:lncRNA from 1 species
UAAAGAAAAGAGGUUUCAUUGGCUCUUGAUUCUGCAGGUUGUACAGGAAGCAUGGUGCUGGCAUCUGCUUCCGAUGAGGGCCUCAGGGAGCUUACAAUCAUGGUGGAAGACGAAGGGGAGCCAAUGUUUCACAUGUUGAGAGUGAGAGCAAGAGAGAGGGAGGGGAGGCAGCCACACACUUUUAAACAACCAGAUUUUUUUUUUUUUUUAGAUGGAGUCCUGCUCUGUUGCCCAGGCUGGAGUGCAGCAGCGUGAUCUCGGCUCACUGCAACCUCCACCUCCCAGGUUCAAGCGAUUCUCCUGCCUCAGGCUCCUGAGUAGCUGCGAUUACAGGCGCGUGCCACCAUGCCCGGCUAAUUUUUGUAUUUUUAGUAGAGGCAGGGUUUCACCAUGUUGGUCAGGCUAGUCUCGAACUCCUGACAUCGUGAUCCACCCGCCUCGGCCUCCUAAAGUGCUGGGAUUACAGGCGUGAGCCACCCUGCCUGGCCUAAGCAACCACAUCUUGCAUGAACUAACUGAGCGAGAACUCACUUAUCACUGAAGGGAUGGCGCUACACCAUUCACGAGGGGCUAUUCCCAUGAUCCAAUCACCUCCCACCAGGCCCCACCUCCAACAGUGGGGAUCACAUUUCAACAUGAGAUUUGGAGAGGACAAACAUCCAAACGAUAUCAGGCUGAAAACACGGCUGGCACUUGAAACUUUAGAGAAGUCACCUUUUCCCUGGGCUCCUCGCUCUGGUCUCCCUGAGACUGUCACAGCGGCUUCAUAGGUGCUUCGAGUUUCUUUGCCACCCCCUGAUCAGGCCUUCUGUGUUUUGUAGUAGUCGCCUUCCCAGAUUUAUUGAGUAGCUCAGCUGAACCAAGGUCUGAGCAUUCAAUUAGGUCUUGUUAUUCAUCCGUUCACCAAAUAUUUAGUGAGCCAUGUGCCAGGCACAUUUCUAGCUGCUGAUACAGCUGUGAACAAGACAGAUGAAGCCCUUGCCCUUCGUGGAGCUCACAUUUUAAUAAAUAGUUUGGAGGCGGACAAAGAGAAAAUAAACAGAGAAACACGAACCUGGAGCAUUUGGCUCACAACUUAGAGUUGACUCAUCUUCAGUUUGACGUCCCUCCUGCUACGAGUUCCUGGCUAACUGACAUCUCUUCUCCUCAAGCAGAUGCUAACUUUGAGCCCUACCACUGAUGGCAUUUGAGGGGGAGAGGAUAAGCCAAGGGAAGAGGAAAAUCAAAAUGCUUUCAGCAGCACGGCUUCCGCAUGCUGGAGAGGUGGUGUAUGGGGUUGCGGCUUGGCCUGUUUUCUGAAACCUGCAAGGUAGCACCCUGAAGGUAGCUUGUAACCCUCCACUCUCACACCAAGGAAGCAGACCACAGCCCAAUACCGUGUGGUGCAACUGUGAAGUCCAGAACUGCUGGAUUUUCUGAAAUCAAAUGAGGACGAUGCCGGAGAAUUACUUCCAUCUCAUGAGGAGUCACUAAUUGGGAUCUUGAGUGAGUUAGCUCGGUUCUCAGCCAAAGAGAUGAUCCAUAGGCAGGAGGCAUGAUGGGAGUUUCCAAAAGUGGACCUUUUGAAGAACAAAGAAUCAAGAGAGACCCUUGGGAUAGCUGAUGAAGGCCUUGAACCUUUUUGCCAAAAUGACCCUGUUUAUGAUGGUGUGUGAAAGUCAAGGGUGAAUUGGAGGCUGUUGUGUCUCUAGAUGAUUUGGUCGGGGAAAAGAAAAGCUUUGAACUCCCAACCAAACUUGUCAGCACUUUGUUACUGCUAAGAGUGGUGCACAGUUGCACUUAGAAACUCCAUUUUCUUAAAUAUGAAAUGACUUAUUUUUUCCCCAGCUUCAUUGAAGUAUGGUUCAACAGAAAAAUUGUAUAUAUUUGAGCUAUACAAUGUUUGAUGUAUGUAUACAUUGUGAAAUAAUUAGGACAAUCAAGCUAAUUGACAUAUCCAUCACCUCACAUAGUUACCAUUUUGUGUGUGGUAAGAACACUUGAUAUUUAUUCUCUUAGCAAAUGUAUACAAUACAGUAUUAUUAACUACAGUCAUCAUUCUGUAUAUUAGAUCUCCAGAACUUAUUCAUCCUUCAUAACUGAAACUGUACCCUUUGACCAACAUCCCAUUUACUCCGUGUCCCAGCCCUUGGCAGCCACCAUUCUACUCUGUUUCUUUUUGAGAUGGAGUCUUGCUCUGUUGCUGAGGCUGGAGUGCAGUGGUGCCAUCUUGGCUCACUGCAACCUCUGCCUCCUGGGUUCAAGCAAUUCUCU